AUGUUUAAGACUAGCCAUGCAUGUCUAAGUAUAAGUGUUAUACAGCGAAACUUGCGAAUUGGGCUCAUUAAAACAGUUAUAGUUUAUUUUGACAAUCGAAUUUACAUGGAUAACCGUGGUAAUUCUAGAGCUAAUACAUGCUGGUGUGCCCGACUUUUCGGAAGGGCGGUAUUUAUUAGAUAACAAGCCAAUAUUCCUCUGGUCUAUUGUGGUGACUCAUAAUAACUGAUCGAAUCGCAAGGCCUAUGGCCGCGAUAAGUCAUUCAAGUUUCUGCCCCAUCAGCUUUCGAUGGUAGUGUAUUGGACUACCAUGGCGUUUACGGGUAACGGAGGAUUAGGGUUCGAUUCCGGAGAGGGAGCCUGAGAAACGGCUACCACAUCUAAGGAAGGCAGCAGGCGCGUAAAUUACCCAAUCCUGAUUCAGGGAGGUAGUGACAAGAAAUAACGGACCGAGGCCUUCGGGCUUCGGGAUUGCAAUGAGCCGAAUUUACACCCCUUAG
rnacentral:rRNA from 1 species